GGGCUACUCGUUCGGGUAUGAAAGAUACUGCUAGCCGAUCAGAAGUUAGGGCUCCUGCUCGUACUUAUGCCAUUCGAGCGAGAGAAGAAGCAACAGCUCCAGAUGUAAUUGCUGAUCAAGAAAACGAACUGAAUCGUGGAAAGGAGAAAAUUCAAGAAUAGUCCCUGAAUUUCUACGACUUUUGCAAAUUAGUCCAGAUUGACUUGAAGUGAAGUGGGUAGAUCGGAUCAACACAACAGGGCACACUAUUCAGAUCAAUUCCGGUAGUUUUUGUUUUAUGUUUAAAGAUUUAUAUGGCAUGUAUAGAGUUUGAAUGAAUUGAAGUAAAGAUGUUAUAAACUAGUUAACAAUAUUUGUACUAAAA